CAGUAGCCGCGGGAAUACAGAGGAUGCAAGCGUUAUCCGGAAUGAUUGGGCGUAAAGCGUCUGUAGGUGGCUUUUCAAGUCCGCCGUCAAAUCCCAGGGCUCAACCCUGGACAGGCGGUGGAAACUACCAAACUGGAGUACGGUAGGGGCAGAGGGAAUUCCCGGUGGAGCGGUGAAAUGCGUUGAGAUCGGAAAGAACACCAACGGCGAAAGCACUCUGCUGGGCCGACACUGACACUGAGAGACGAAAGCUAGGGGAGCAAAUGGGAUUAGAUACCCCCGUAGUCCCUGUCUCUUAUAC
rnacentral:rRNA from 1 species